GUUUAUUAGUUCCAGAGUCCAAAGAAGCCAACCACAAGCUCUUUUUAAGGAGACAUGUCCAGUGGACAGCUGAUGGUGUGUACAGUAUAAGAAGUCAAAUUGUGACAUUUGUUGUCCAUUCCUUGAGUGGUCAGUAACUAGCAGGUGUAAUGCCAUUUAUUCUGCUUACGGAACCAUCACUUUACUAAAUGUUUUUUUGGGUGUAUGAAGGGGCACAGGACUGAGUAGCCAAGCUGUACAACAUGUUUUUGAAUGUUUUACUACCAUAGCAUGGAUCACUAUCGGCACAUGGAAUUUAAAGCUUGGACACAAUUAGUUUGGCAGUUAUACUGUAGCCAGGAAUAUAUUUAAAGGACCAAUCGUAUACGUUUUACUGUUAUUUAAAAUAAAAUAUUACAUAUAUAAUGGCCUCUGUGUAUAUUUUUGUAAUGCAUACAUAAUACUUAAUACUCGUUUUCUCUUUGGACAGAAUAAGCAGUCAUCCGACCAAAGAAAAUGUUGAAUGGACAGCUGAAACCAGCUCAGAGUGUGUUUUUGAGAUUAAUCAGGAUUAAUGAACAUGCACUAUGUCUCACAUACCUGUGCUUUUUGGUCAGUAUCGCUUAUCCAACCCAAGAGGGCUUGAAGAUGGUUACCCACAUUGAGCAAGUGCGACUCAGCAAAUGCAGUAAUAAGAGAUAUUUACUUACAUUUACAUAACAAAAUAAUCCGCAGUGGUUACUUUACAUCUAAUCUUUUCUUUU